rnacentral:rRNA from 1 species
UACGAAGGGGGCUAGCGUUGCUCGGAAUCACUGGGCGUAAAGGGUGCGUAGGCGGGUCUUUAAGUCAGGGGGGAAAUCCUGGAGCUCAACUCCUGAACUGCCUUUGAUACUGAAGAUCUUGAGUUCGGGAGAGGUGAGUGGAACUGCGAGCGUAGAGGUGAAAUUCGUAGAUAUUCGCAAGAACACCAGUGGCGAAGGCGGCUCACUGGCCCGAUACUGACGCUGAGGCACGAAAGCGUGGGGAGCAAACAGG